rnacentral:lncRNA from 1 species
GGUGAAGAUGCCUCCUUUCCUGGUGGGUGAAGAGCUCUUCUCUGUAAAGAUAAGAAUGGACCAGCACUACCUUCUGGGCUUCCUAACAGCUUUGAGAUAUUAUGAUUCUACUGGGUGCCUGUGAUGGGAGAUGGGGAAUAAACAGCAGCAGAUAAACUCCCAUGGGUGUUCAUGAAAAAAAUGCACAAAAUCCUGACUGGCCGGAAUAAUUCAUGAAGAAAGGGCUGGAUCCGUGGGUCAGAGCACACAGGACCAGGUUGCCAUCCCAAGGCCGAAGUCUGGUGACUCGGAUUUGGCCCUGCGUUGCCCACUCCUGCUGCAUCUUACCCAGUCGAAGGAUGAAAGGUCUUGGCACCUUCCUGAAGCGUGGGAAGAAAGGAGGUUCUGAAAGCACAGAUCCAAGACCACCAGAGGCCGGGGACACUGACACCUGGAGGGGCCACUCACACACCGCCAGGAGCCAAGGAGAGCUGGACAGGAGGAACACGGGCCCAACAAGGGUGGAAAUACCAGCAGUCCCCAAAGCCAUCUACAUCAGUGCCCAGGCAGCCCAUGCAGGACCCACUGAGUGGAAGACAACAUGGUAG